rnacentral:misc_RNA from 1 species
GAAAGCUUUCCCUUGAACACUGUGCCAUAUGCUCCCUGGCCCAACUUGUCCUUAAAUUGGUUUGUAAUCCCCUUUAGAUCAGCAUAGGAGUAUCUUGUGGGCUUGAGAGCUUUGUAAUCUUCCAAAAAUUUCUCUAUCCUGGCUUGGUUUUCCUUUUCUUUUCUAUUAGUAUUGUAAAUAUGACAGAGUGCUGCGGACAAUAGUAGCAGCAUAAACGAACCUAGGACUAUACCUGCAAUCCGUACCCUGGUCAAGAUACCUGAUGUUUUGGGCAAGUCGAAACAUGCAAGGUUACUAUUCUUCCAGCCACAAUGUUUACCUUGCUCUUCACAGAAUUUACACGUUGGUUCGGACCAAUUCAAACGAAUAAUAUUCGAGUUAUCGAACAUUUCUUCUGGAACCGAUGAAACAUUAUACAUCUUGGUGCAAGAUGUCAGAGGCAACUGAUCAAUUGUAUCAUGAGAAUUGAAGGCAUAAACUUUAUUGCCGGCAGGACCUCCGAGGCAAGUCAAUGGUUCUUCUAAAUCUCUCUUUGACGCUGGACAACUGAACAAGGCAUAAUCAUUUGUCUCUGCAGCAAAUUGGAAAUUAGAAUUAUAAAGAUUGAAGUCUCUAGCCUUCCUUGGUAGACAGCCAUCUGGGUCAGAUGCAAAAAACACCUGGUUUACAUAAUCAAUUCUUUGGACGUAGAGUUUCACAGAAUUUGGCAGUUGAAGCUCUGCAUGUUUCCCCUCUUUGCAAGAUAAAUCAAACCCAUGAUGAUAGCCACAC